ensembl:lncRNA
CAGCAACUUCUCCAAGUUCAAGUUCCACGACUGUGUCUUCAUCCACAUCCGAAGGGACAAGCACAACUGCUGAAGUCACAGCCACAUCAUCUUCAGCAACUUCUCCAAGUUCAAGUCCCACGACUCUCUUGUCAUCCACAUCCGAAGGGACAAGCACAACUGCUGAAGUCACAGCCACAACAUCUUCAGCAACUUCUCCAAGUUCAAGUCCCACGACUGUGUCGUCAUCCACAUCAGAAGGGACAAGCACAACUGCUGAAGUCACAGCCACAUCAUCUUCAGCUACUUCAAGUCCCACGACUGUGUCGUCAUCCACAUCAGAAGGGACAAGCACAACUGCUGAAGUCACAGCAACAUCAUCUUCAGCUACUUCAAGUCCCACGACUGUGUCGUCAUCCACUUCUGAAGGCACAAGCACAACUGCUAAAGUCACAGCCACAACAUCUUCAGCAACUUCUCCAAGUUCAAGUCCCACGACUGUGUCGUCAUCCACAUCAGAAGGGACAAGCACAACUGCAGAAGUCACAGACACAACAUCUUCAGCAAUUUCUCCAAGUUCAAGUUCCACGACUGUGUCGUCAUCCACAUCCGAAGGGACAAGCACAACUGCUGAAGUCACAGCCACAUCAUCUUCAGCAACUUCUCCAAGUUCAAGUCCCACGACCGUCUCGUUAUCCACAUCUGAAGGGACUAGCACAACUGCUGAAGUCACAGCAACAUCAUCUUCAGCAACUUCUCCAAGUUCAAGUCCCACGACUGUCUCGUCAUCCACAUCCGAAGGGACAAGCACAACUGCAGAAGUCACAGACACAUCAUCUUCAGCUACUUCAAGUCCCACGACUGUGUCGUCAUCCACUUUUGAAGGGACAAGCACAACUGCUGAAGUCACAGCCACAUCAUCUUCAGCAAUUUGUCCAAGUUCAAGUCCCACGACUGUGUUGUCAUCCACAGCUGAAGGGACUAGCACAACUGCUGAAGUCACAGCAACAUCAUCUUCAGCUACUUCAAGUCCCACGACUGUGUCAUCAUCCACUUCUGAAGGCACAAGCACAACUAAAGAAGUCACAGACACAUCAUCUUCAGCAACUUCUCCAAGUUCAAGUCCCACGACUGUCUCGUCUUCCACAUCCGAAGGGACAAGCACAACUGCUGAAGUCACAGACACAUCAUCUUCAGCAACUUCUCCAAGUUCAAGUCCCACGACUGUGUCGUCAUCCACUUCUGAAGGGACAAGCACAACUGCUGAAGUCACAGCCACAUCAUCUUCAGCAACUUCUCCAAGUUCAAGUCCCACGACUGUCUCGUCAUCCACAUCCGAAGGGACAAGCACAACUGCUGAAGUCACAGACACAAUCAUCUUCAGCAACUUCUCCAAGUUCAAGUCCCAUGACUGUGUCGUCAUCCACAUCAGAAGGGACAAGCACAACUGCAGAAGUCACAGACACAACAUCUUCAGCAAUUUCUCCAAGUUCAAGUCCACGACUGUCUCGUCAUCCACAUCCGAAGGACAAGCACAACUGCUGAAGUCACAGACACAACAUCUUCAGUAGUUCAAGUCCCACGACUGUGUCGUCAUCCACAUCAGAAGGGACAAGCACAACUGUAGAAGUCACACACACAUCAUCUUCAGCUACUUCAAGUCCCACGACUGUGUCGUCAUCCACAUCAGAAGGGACAAGCACAACUGCAGAAGUCACAGACACAUCAUCUUCAGCUACUUCAAGUCCCACGACUGUGUCGUCAUCCACAUCAGAAGGGACAAGCACAACUGCAGAAGUCACAGACACAUCAUCUUCAGCAACUUCUCCAAGUUCAAGUCCCACGACUGUGUCGUCAUCCACAUCCGAAGGGACAAGCACAACUGCUGAAGUCACAGACACAACAUCUUCAGCAACUUCUCAAAGUUCAAGUCCCACGACUGUAUCGUCAUCCACAUCCGAAGGGACAAGCACAACUGCUGAAGUCACAACAACAUCAUCUUCAGCAACUUCUCCAAGUUCAAGUCCCAUGACUGUGUCGUCAUCCACUUCUCAAGGGACAAGCACAACUGCUGAAGUCACAGCCACAUCAUCUUCAGCAACUUCUCCAAGUUCAAGUCCCACGACUGUCUCGUUAUCCACAUCUGAAGGGACAAGCACAACUGCUGAAGUCACAGCCACAUCAUCUUCAGCACUCUCCAAGUUCAAGUCCCACGACUGUGUCGUCAUCCACAUCCGAAGGGACAAGCACAACUGCUAGUCACAGCCACAUCAUCUUCAGCAACUUCUCCAAGUUCAAGUCCCACGACUGUGUCGUCAUCCACAUCAGAAGGGACAAGCACAACUGCUGAAGUCACAGCCACAUCAUCUUCAGCAACUUCUCCAAGUUCAAGUCCCACGACUGUGUCGUCAUCCACAUCUGAAGGGACAAGCACAACUGCUGAAGUCACAGCAACAUCAUCUUCAGCUACUUCAAGUCCCACGACUGUGUCGUCAUCCACUUCUGAAGGCACAAGCACAACUGCUAAAGUCACAGCACAUCAUCUUCAGCAACUUCUCCAAGUUCAAGUCC